rnacentral:lncRNA from 1 species
AAGCGCAUUAGAUAUCAGGUGCGAUCAUACCAGCACUAAUGCAUCGGAUCCCAUCAGAACUCCGCAGUUGGGCGUGCUUGGGCGAGAGUAGUACUAGGAUGGGUGACCUCCUCGGAAGUCCUUGUGUUGCACCUCUUUUUUGCGAUUUUUUAAAUACUUCUAUUCAUUUCUGUUAACCGACGUAAAAGAAUCAAAAAAAGUAGGAGAAAACAAAUAUUUCAGCGUUAGUUAUGUCAGUUCUGCCGUUAAUAAGUGAAAGAAAUAAAAUAUAUACAAUUAAAGCGCAUUAGAUAUCAGGUGCGAUCAUACUAGCACUAAUGCAUCGGAUCCCAUCAGAACUACGCAGCUGAGCGUGCUUGGGCGAGAGUAGUACUAGGAUGGGUGACCUCCUGGGAAGUCCUUGUGUUGCACCUCUUUUUUACGAUUUUUUAAAUACUUCUAUUCAUUUCUGUUAACCGACGUAAAAGAAUCGGAAAAAGUAGGAGAAAACAAAUAUUUCAGCGUUAAUUAUGUCUGUUCUGCCGUUAAUAAGUGAAAGAAAUAAAAUAUAUACAAUUAAAGCGCAUUAGAUAUCAGGUGCGAUCAUACCAGCACUAAUGCAUCGGAUCCCAUCAGAACUCCGCAGCUGAGCGUGCUUGGGCGAGAGUAGUACUAGGAUGGGUGACCUCCUGGGAAGUCCUUGUGUUGCACCUCUUUUUUCUUAUUUUUUAAAUACUUCUAUUCAUUUCUGUUAGCCGGCGUAAAAGAAUCGGAAAAAGUAAAAGAAAACAAAUAUUUCAGCAUUAAUCAUGUCUGUUCUGCCGUUAAUAAGUGAAAGAAAUAAAAUAUAUACAAUUAAAGCGCAUUAGACAUCAGGUGCGAUCAUACCAGCACUAAUGCACCGGAUCCCAUCAGAACUCCGCAGUUAAACGUACUAGGGCGAGAGUAGUAGUAGGAUGGGUGACCUCCUGGGAAGUCCUUGUGUUGCACCUCUUUCUUGCGAUUUUUUAAAUACUUCUAUUCAUUUCUGUUAGCCGGCGUAAAAGAAUCGGAAAAAGUAGGAGAAAACAAAUAUUUCAACGUUAAUUGUGUUUGUUCUGCCGUUAAUAAGUGAAAGAAAUAAAAUAUAUACAAUUAAAGCGCAUUUAAUAUCAGGUGCGAUCAUACCAGCACUAAUGCACCGGAUCCCAUCAGAACUCCGCAGUUAAGCGUGCUUGGGCGAGAGUAGUACUAGGAUGGGUGACCUCCUGGGAAGUCCUUGUGUUGCACCUCUUUUUUGCGAUUUUUUAAAUACUUCUAUUCAUUUCUGUUAGCCGGCGUAAAAGAAUCGGAAAAAGUAGGAGAAAACAAAUAUCCUUGUGUUGCACCUUUUUUUUCUGCCGUUAAUAAGUGAAAGAAAUAAAAUAUAUACAAUUAAAGCGCAUUUAAUAUCAGGUGCGAUCAUACCAGCACUAAUGCACCGGAUCCCAUCAGAACUCCGCAGUUAAGCGUGCUUGGGCGAGACUAGUACUAGGAUGGGUGACCUCCUGGGAAGUCCUUGUGUUGCACCUCUUUUUUGCGAUUUUUUAAAUACUUCUAUUCAUUUCUGUUAGCCGGCGUAAAAGAAUCGGAAAAAGUAGGAGAAAACAAAUACUUCAACGUUAAUUGUGUUUGUUCUGCCGUUAAUAAGUGAAAGAAAUAAAAUAUAUACAAUUAAAGCGCAUUUAAUAUCAGGUGCGAUCAUACCAGCACUAAUGCACCGGAUCCCAUCAGAACUCCGCACAUAAGCGUGCUUGGGCGAGAGUAGUACUAGGAUGGGUGACCUCCUGGGAAGUCCUUGUGUUGCACCUCUUUUUUGCGAUUUUUUAAAUACUUCUAUUCAUUUCUGUUAGCCGGCGUAAAAGAAUCGGAAAAAGUAGGAGAAAAACAAUAUUUCAACGUUAAUUGUGUUUGUUUGCCGUUAAUAAGUGAAGAAAUAAAAUAUAUACAAUUAAAGCGCAUUAAUAUCAGGUGCGAUCAUACCAGCACUAAUGCACCGGAUCCCAUCAGAACUCCGCAGUUAAGCGUGCUUGGGCGGAGGUAGUACUAGGAUGGGUGACCUCCUGGGAAGUCCUUGUGUUGCACCUCUUUUUUGCGAUUUUUUAAAUACUUCUAUUCAUUUCUGUUACGGCGUAAAAGAAUCGGAAAAAGUAGGAGAAAACAAAUAUUUCACGUUAAUUUGUUUGUUUGCCGUUAAUAAGUGAAAGAAAUAAAAUAUAUACAAUUAAAGCGCAUUAAUAUCAGGUGCGAUCAUACCAGCACUAAUGACCGGAUCCCAUCAGAACUCCGCAGUUAAGCGUGCUUGGGCGAGAGUAGUACAGGAUGGGUGACCUCCUGGGAAGUCCUUGUGUUGCACCUUUUUUGCGAUUUUUUAAAUACUUCUAUUAUUUCUGUUCGGCGUAAAAGAAUCGGAAAAAGUAGGAGAAAACAAAUAUUUCACGUUAAUUGUGUUUGUUUGCCGUUAAUAAGUGAAAGAAUAAAAUAUAUACAAUUAAGCGCAUUAAUAUCAGGUGCGAUCAUACCAGCACUAAUGCACCGGAUCCCAUCAGAACUCCGCAGUUAAGCGUGCUUGGGCGAGGUAGUACUAGGAUGGGUGACCUCUGGGAAGUCCUUGUGUUGCACCUCUUUUUUGCGAUUUUUUAUACUUCUAUUCAUUUUUGUUACCGGCGUAAAAGAAUCGGAAAAAGUAGGAGAAAACAAUAUUUCACGUUAAUGUGUUGUUUGCCGUUAUAAGUGAAAGAAAUAAAAUAUAUACAAUUAAAGCGCAUUAAUAUCAGGUGCGAUCAUACCAGCACUAAUGCACCGGAUCCCAUCAGAACUCCGCAGUUAAGCGUGCUUGGGCGAGAGUAGUACUAGGAUGGGUGACCUCCUGGGAAGUCCUUGUGUUGCACCUCUUUUUUGCGAUUUUUAAAUACUUUCUAUUAUUUCUGUUACCGGCGUAAAAGAAUCGGAAAAAGUAGGAGAAAACAAAUAUUUCACGUUAAUUUGUUUGUUUGCGUUAAUAAGUGAAAGAAAUAAAAUAUAUACAAUUAAAGCGCAUUAAUAUCAGGUGCGAUCAUACCAGCACUAAUGCACCGGAUCCCAUCAGAACUCCGCAGUUAAGCGUGCUUGGGCGAGAGUAGUACUAGGAUGGGUGACCUCCUGGGAAGUCCUUGUGUUGCACCUCUUUUUUGCGAUUUUUUAAAUACUUCUUAUUCAUUUCUGUUACCGGCGUAAAAGAAUCGGAAAAAGUAGGAGAAAACAAAUAUUUCACGUUAAUUGUGUUUGUUUGCCGUUAAUAAGUGAAAGAAAUAAAAUAUAUACAAUUAAAGCGCAUUAAUAUCAGGUGCGAUCAUACCAGCACUAAUGCACGGAUCCCAUCAGAACUCGCAGUUAAGCGUGCUUGGGCGAGAGUAGUACUACUAGGAUGGGUGACCUCCUGGGAAGUCCUUGUGUUGCACCUCUUUUUUUCGAUUUUUUAAAUACUUCUAUUCAUUUCUGUUAGCCGGCGUAAAAGAAUCGGAAAAAGUAGGAGAAAACAAAUAUUUCAACGUUAAUUGUGUUUGUUCUGCCGUUAAUAAGUGAAAGAAAUAAAAUAUAUAGAAUUAAAGCGCAUUUAAUAUCAGGUGCGAUCAUACCAGCACUAAUGCACCGGAUCAUACCAUCAGAACUCCGCAGUUAAGCGUGUUUGGGCGAGAGUAGUACUAGGAUGGGUGACCUCCUGGGAAGUCCUUGUGUUGCUUGCGAUUUUUUAAAUACUUCUAUUCAUUUCUGUUAGCCGGUGUAAAAGAAUCGGAAAAAGUAGGAGAAAACAAAUAUUUCAACAUUAAUUGUGUUUGUUCUGUCGUUAAUAAGUGAAAGAAAUAAAAUAUAUACAAUUAAAGCGCAUUUAAUAUCAGGUGUGAUCAUACCAGCACUAAUGCACCGGAUCCCAUCAAAACUCCGUAGGUAAGCGUGCUUGGGCGAGAGUAGUACUAGGAUGGGUGACCUCCUGGGAAGUCUUUGUGUUGCACCUCUUUUUUGCGAUUUUUUAAAUACUUCUAUUCAUUUUUGUUAGCCGGCGUAAAAGAAUCGGAAAAAGUAGGAGAAAACAAAUAUUUCAACGUUAAUUGUGUUUGUUCUGCC